rnacentral:rRNA from 1 species
UGGGGAAUCUUCCGCAAUGGACGAAAGUCUGACGGAGCAACGCCGCGUGAGUGAAGAAGGUUUUCGGAUCGUAAAACUCUGUCUUUUGGGGCGAACGUGAGUAUGGUGAACAAUCAUAGUCAGUGACGGUACCAAAGGAGGAAGCCACGGCUAACUACGUGCCAGCAGCCGCGGUAAUACGUAGGUGGCAAGCGUUGUCCGGAAUUAUUGGGCGUAAAGAGCGCGUAGGCGGGAUAGUCAGUCUGUUGUAAAAGUGCGGGGCUCAACCCCGUGAUGGCAAUGGAAACAGCUAUUCUUGAGUGCAGGAGAGGAAAGUGGAAUCCCCAGUGUAGCGGUGAAAUGCGUAGAUAUUGGGAGGAACACCAGUGGCGAAGGCGACUUUCUGGACUGUGUCUGACGCUGAGGCGCGAAAGCCAGGGGAGCGAACGGGAUUAGAUACCCUGGUAGUCCUGGCCGUAAACGAUGGGUACUAGGUGUGGGGGGUAUCGACCCCUUCCGUGCCGGAGUU